rnacentral:rRNA from 1 species
GAGUGGCGGACGGGUGAGUAACACGUAGGUAACCUGCCCCGGAGCGGGGGAUAACAUUUGGAAACAGAUGCUAAUACCGCAUAACAACAAAAGCCACAUGGCUUUUGUUUGAAAGAUGGCUUUGGCUAUCACUCUGGGAUGGACCUGCGGUGCAUUAGCUAGUUGGUAAGGUAACGGCUUACCAAGGCGAUGAUGCAUAGCCGAGUUGAGAGACUGAUCGGCCACAAUGGAACUGAGACACGGUCCAUACUCCUACGGGAGGCAGCAGUAGGGAAUCUUCCACAAUGGGCGCAAGCCUGAUGGAGCAACACCGCGUGAGUGAAGAAGGGUUUCGGCUCGUAAAGCUCUGUUGUUGGAGAAGAACGUGCGUGAGAGUAACUGUUCACGCAGUGACGGUAUCCAACCAGAAAGUCACGGCUAACUACGUGCCAGCAGCCGCGGUAAUACGUAGGUGGCAAGCGUUAUCCGGAUUUAUUGGGCGUAAAGCGAGCGCAGGCGGUUGCUUAGGUCUGAUGUGAAAGCCUUCGGCUUAACCGAAGAAGUGCAUCGGAAACCGGGCAACUUGAGUGCAGAAGAGGACAGUGGAACUCCAUGUGUAGCGGUGGAAUGCGUAGAUAUAUGGAAGAACACCAGUGGCGAAGGCGGCUGUCUGGUCUGCAACUGACGCUGAGGCUCGAAAGCAUGGGUAGCGAACAGGAUUAGAUACCCUGGUAGUCCAUGCCGUAAACGAUGAGUGCUAGGUGUUGGAGGGUUUCCGCCCUUCAGUGCCGGAGCUAACGCAUUAAGCACUCCGCCUGGGGAGUACGACCGCAAGGUUGAAACUCAAAGGAAUUGACGGGGGCCCGCACAAGCGGUGGAGCAUGUGGUUUAAUUCGAAGCUACGCGAAGAACCUUACCAGGUCUUGACAUCUUACGCUAACCUUAGAGAUAAGGCGUUCCCUUCGGGGACGCAAUGACAGGUGGUGCAUGGUCGUCGUCAGCUCGUGUCGUGAGAUGUUGGGUUAAGUCCCGCAACGAGCGCAACCCUUGUUACUAGUUGCCAGCAUUAAGUUGGGCACUCUAGUGAGACUGCCGGUGACAAACCGGAGGAAGGUGGGGACGACGUCAGAUCAUCAUGCCCCUUAUGACCUGGGCUACACACGUGCUACAAUGGACGGUACAACGAGUCGCAAACUCGCGAGAGUAAGCUAAUCUCUUAAAGCCGUUCUCAGUUCGGACUGUAGGCUGCAACUCGCCUACACGAAGUCGGAAUCGCUAGUAAUCGCGGAUCAGCAUGCCGCGGUGAAUACGUUGCCCGGGCCUUGUACACACCGCCCGUCACACCAUGGGAGUUUGUAACGCCCAAAGUCGGUGGCCUAACCUUUAUGGAGGGAGCCGCCUAAGGCGGGACAGAUGACUGGGGUG